ensembl:processed_transcript
UAGGAAAUAGAAGAUAAAGUCCUAGUGAUGAGGCCAAAAGCCUGAUGUUAAGGUCGCAUGUGCUGUGCCCCACUGACUUAACCCAGUAGGACAGUUUUAUUGUGAAAAAAAGUUCCCUAGCAACCAUAGUCUCAGGCUUCUUGGCAAGAGAACUGAGGUGAGCCCAUGGAGACUGAACUGAGGACCCAAGGAAUAGUGUAAAACAAAGUGAAGAUAAAUAACUACACUAAUGAAUUUUUUAUUUUCAAACAGAUGGGUCUUUCUGAAUUUCUGGUCCUUCUGAAUUUCAAGGUAAGUCACCUUGUUUUUGUACAGACUGUAAUAGAGCUUGUAACCAGUGAUGUGCUGAUUCUGCCAAAUGAUACAAAGUGAUAUCACCUUUAAAACCGUUCCAUUUUAUUUCUGAGGUUACUAUAGUAAUGUGGAAAAUUUAACUACUAUAAGCCAGAGGAGUAAGUCUUUGUUUUCUUAGGGCUCCUGUGACAAGUAGACAUGGCAGUGACUUCACCAUUUUGUUUCUGAGGUGCCUGGAUGGAGACUCAAAUAGAAGAUGGUGUCAGAUACAUUGUGUUGUCAAGAUUUUACCAUUAAAGUGUGUUAUAAACAUG